rnacentral:rRNA from 1 species
AACGGAGGAUAAGGGUUCGACUCCGGAGAAGGGGCCUCAUAAAUGGCCACUACGUCUAAGGAUGGCAGCAGGCGCGCAAAUUACCCACUCUCAACGCGAGGAGGUAGUGACGAGAAAUAACGAGACCGAUCUCUUAUGAGGCCGGUCAUCGGAAUGGGUACAAUUUAAACCCUUUAACGAGUAUCUAUGAGAGGGCAAGUCUGGUGCCAGCAGCCGCGGUAAUUCCAGCUCUCAAAAUGCAUAGAAUUAUUGCUGCGGUUAAAAAGCUCGUAGUUGGAUCUGUGCUAGCCGUCCGGUGCACACUUUGUGUGUUACUGGUUUGGUUGGCUUUUCUGCCGGUCUUUCCCCGGCGUUGGCCUUUACCGGUCGGCGUCGGUGGGCUGGCGAGUUUACUUUGAACAAAUCAGAGUGCUUCAAACAGGCGUUUCGCUUGAAUGUUCGUGCAUGGAAUAAUAGAAGAGGAUUUCGGUCCGAUUUUAUUGGUUUUGCUGACCGAGAUAAUGGUUAACAGAGACAAACGGGGCCAUUCGUAUUGCUACGUGAGAGGUGAAAUUCUUGGACCGUAGCAAGACGGACUACAGCGAAAGCAUUUGGCAAGAAUGUCUUCAUUAAUCAAGAACGAAAGUCAGAGGUUCGAAGGCGAUCAGAUACCGCCCUAGUUCUGACCGUAAACGAUGCCAACUAGCGAUCCGCCGGCGGAUUUAUUCGCCCUGGUGGGGAGCUUCCCGGAAACGAAAGUCUUCCGGUUCCGGGGGGAAGUAUGGUUGCAAAGCUGAAACUUAAAGGAAUUGACGGAAGGGCACCACCAGGAGUGGAGCCUGCGGCUUAAUUUGACUCAACACGGGGAAACUCACCCGGCCCGGACACCGUAAGGAUUGACAGAUUGAUAGCUUUUUCAUGAUUCGGUGGAUGGUGGUGCAUGGCCGUUCUUAGUUCGUGGAGCGAUUUGUCUGGUUUAUUCCGAUAACGAGCGAGACUCUAGCCUACUAAAUAGUUGGCUCAUUGCUUCUGUGGGCACAACUUCUUAGAGGGAUUUUCGGUGUUCAGCCGCACGAAAUUGAGCAAUAACAGGUCUGUGAUGCCCUUAGAUGUCCGGGGCUGCACGCGCGCUACACUGGCAAAAUCAGCGUGCUUGUCCUUCCCCGAAAGGGGUUGGUAAACCGGUGAAAAUUUGCCGUGAUUGGGAUCGGACAUUGCAAUUAUUGUCCGUGAACGAGGAAUUCCUUGUAGGGGCGAGUCAUCAACUCGCUCUGAAUACGUCCCUGCCCUUUGUACACACCGCCCGUCGCUGCCCGGGACUGAGCCAUUUCGAGAAAUUCGGGGACGGUUAGUGUUCCGGCUUCGGUCGGUAUGCAGACUGGAACCG